UACAGAGGGGGCAAGCGUUGUUCGGAAUUACUGGGCGUAAAGGGCGCGUAGGCGCCUUCUAAGUCGAACGUGAAAUCCCUGGGCUCAACCCAGGAACUGCGUCCGAUACUGGAAGGCUUGAAUCCGGGAGAGGGAUGCGGAAUUCCAGGUGUAGCGGUGAAAUGCGUAGAUAUCUGGAGGAACACCGGUGGCGAAGGCGGCAUCCUGGACCGGUAUUGACGCUGAGGCGCGAAAGCCAGGGGAGCAAAACGGG
rnacentral:rRNA from 1 species